AGAGUUUGAUCAUGGCUCAGAUUGAACGCUGGCGGCAUGCCUUACACAUGCAAGUCGAACGGUAACGCGGGGGCAACCCUGGCGACGAGUGGCGAACGGGUGAGUAAUACAUCGGAACAUAUCCAGUAGCGGGGGAUAACCUAUCGAAAGAUGGACUAAUACCGCAUACGAUCUACGGAUGAAAGCAGGGGACCGCAAGGCCUUGCACUAUUGGAGUGGCCAAUGUCGGAUUAGCUAGUUGGUGAGGUAAAGGCUUACCAAGGCGACGAUCCGUAGCUGGUCUGAGAGGACGAUCAGCCACACUGGAACUGAGACACGGUCCAGACUCCUACGGGAGGCAGCAGUGGGGAAUUUUGGACAAUGGGCGCAAGCCUGAUCCAGCCAUGCCGCGUGAGUGAAGAAGGCCUUCGGGUUGUAAAGCUCUUUCGGUGAAGACGAAACGGUUAGCGCUAAUAACGCUGACUAAUGACGGUACUCACAGAAGAAGCACCGGCUAACUACGUGCCAGCAGCCGCGGUAAUACGUAGGGUGCAGGCGUUAAUCGGAAUUACUGGGCGUAAAGCGUGCGCAGGCGGUUUGCUAAGACAGGUGUGAAAUCCCCGAGCUUAACUUGGGAAUUGCGCUUGUAACUGGCAAGCUAGAGUGUGGCAGAGGGGGGUGGAAUUCCACGUGUAGCAGUGAAAUGCGUAGAUAUGUGGAGGAACACCGAUGGCGAAGGCAGCCCCCUGGGUUAACACUGACGCUCAUGCACGAAAGCGUGGGGAGCAAACAGGAUUAGAUACCCUGGUAGUCCACGCCCUAAACUAUGUCAACUAGUUGUCGGGGAAGAAAUUCCUUGGUAACGAAGCUAACGCGUGAAGUUGACCGCCUGGGGAGUACGGCCGCAAGGUUAAAACUCAAAGGAAUUGACGGGGACCCGCACAAGCGGUGGAUUAUGUGGAUUAAUUCGAUGCAACGCGAAAAACCUUACCUACCCUUGACAUGCUAGGAAGCCCGCAGAGAUGUGGGUGUGCCCGAAAGGGAACCUAGACACAGGUGCUGCAUGGCUGUCGUCAGCUCGUGUCGUGAGAUGUUGGGUUAAGUCCCGCAACGAGCGCAACCCUUGCCAUUAGUUGCUACAUUUAGUUGGGCACUCUAAUGGACCGCCGGUGACAAACCGGAGGAAGGUGGGGAUGACGUCAAGUCCUCAUGGCCCUUAUGGGUAGGGCUUCACACGUAAUACAAUGGUCGGUACAGAGGGCUGCCAACCCGCAAGGGGGAGCUAAUCCCAGAAAGCCGAUCGUAGUCCGGAUUGUAGUCUGCAACUCGACUGCAUGAAGCCGGAAUCGCUAGUAAUCGCGGAUCAGCAUGUCGCGGUGAAUACGUUCCCGGGCCUUGUACACACCGCCCGUCACACCAUGGGAGUGGGUUCCACCAGAAGUAGUUAGCCUAACCGCAAGGAGGGCGAUUACCACGGUGAGAUUCAUGACUGGGGUGAAGUCGUAACAAGGUA
rnacentral:rRNA from 1 species